UUUGAGGGAACCCAGCAGCAGCGGGCGUUGCCGAUCCUGGCCGUAGGUCGCCAACAGCGCCUGCGCCUC
rnacentral:antisense_RNA from 1 species